rnacentral:rRNA from 1 species
GAUGAACGCUGGCGGCGUGCUUAACACAUGCAAGUCGAACGAUGAGACCCAGCUUGCUGGCCGCUUACGUGAGGAGCGGGCGGGUGAGUAAUACGUAGCUAACCUACAUAUCAGGCUUAGACAUGGUCAGGAGGCCGGAGUUAAGAACGGAUAAUACAUCGAACCGCAGGGUUCUGUAAUGAUUGACGGUUUUGGUGUCAGCUUUAGAUGGAUCGGCGGCUCAUUAGGUAGUUGGUAAGCUAAGGGCUUACCAAGGAAGCGACUGGUAGCCGGCCCGGGAGGGUGGCCGGCCACCCUGCGCCUGCGAGACGGCCCAGACUCCUACGGGACGCAGCAGGCGGGAACAUUGCACAACGGGCGCAAGCCUGAUGCAGCGACGCCGCGUGCGGGAUACCGUCUUUCUGGUUGUAAACCUCUUUCAGUGGGGAAGAAGCGAUAGUGACGGUACCUGCAGAAAAAGCACCGGCUAACUACGUG